rnacentral:rRNA from 1 species
CCUACGGGCGGCAGCAGUGAGGAAUAUUGGUCAAUGGGCGCGAGCCUGAACCAGCCAAGUAGCGUGAAGGAUGACUGCCCUACGGGUUGUAAACUUCUUUUAUAAAGGAAUAAAGUGAGGCACAUGUGCCUUUUUGUAUGUACUUUAUGAAUAAGGAUCGGCUAACUCCGUGCCAGCAGCCGCGGUGAUACGGAGGAUCCGAGCGUUAUCCGGAUUUAUUGGGUUUAAAGGGAGCGUAGAUGGGUUGUUAAGUCAGUUGUGAAAGUUUGCGGCUCAACCGUAAAAUUGCAAUUGAUACUGGCAGUCUUGAGUACAGUAGAGGUAGGUGGAAUUCGUGGUGUAGCGGUGAAAUGCUUAGAUAUCACGAAGAACACCGAUUGCGAAGGCAGCCUACUAAACUGCGACUGACAUUGAUGCGCGAAAGUGUGGGGAUCAAACAGGAUUAGAUACCCGUGUAGUC